CCCGCAUCUCAGAACAGCAUUCAGAGAUGAUAUUCUUCUCAGCACAAUUGUACAGAGUGGUUAUCUGAGUUACCGUAGACUUUAUCAGUUCAAACCAGUCUGGCCAUUCUCUGUUGACCUCUCUCAUCAACAAGUGUUUCCAUCCACAGAACUGCCGCUCACUGGAUGUUUUUUGUUUUUGGCACCAUUCUGAGUAAAUUCUAGAGACUGUUGUGUGUGAAAAUCCCAGAAAUACUCAAACCAGCCCAUCUGGCACCAACAAUCAUCCACGCUCCAAAUCACUGAGAUCACAUUUUCCCCAUUCUGAUGGUUGAUGUGAAUAUUAACUGAAGCUCCUGACCCGUAUCUGCAUGAUCUUAUGCACUGCAUUGCUGCCACAUGAUUGGCUGAUUAGAUAAUCACAUGGAUGUUUGUGAAUCAUCUCUGAAUGCUGUUCUGAGAUGCGGGUUGGUGCUGUUUUGGCGGCACUAGGGGGACCUACACAAUAUUAGACAGGUGCUUUUAAUGUUAUGACUGAUCGGUGUAUAUCUCUGAGUGUAAAUAAGAUGGCUCCAAAAAAAAUGGCAAAAUUUUGUGUUGAUACAACAAAGCAAUCAAAAGUUAUAGCGUUACAAAAAUAAUUUAUCAUAGUGUCCAAAAACUAGGGAUGUGCAUGAGUAGUCGAAUACUCGAGUAUUCAUUUUACAAUAAGUAUUUGAAAAGUGAAAAUACUAUUUGAAUUUCGCAAAGUUUUGCUUUGCCGGCCAUAUAUACAGAGAGAUGCAUAUUAAAUCCUGAACACACAAACUAAAACUCAGUUAUAACAGAAUGGGUGGCGCUGUUGAGUGUGGACACGAGUUGAUCACAUUUGAUGUGCAAUACGUCCUGUCAGUACGUUCAGAUGGACACCAAAAAGCAGGUUAUUGCUCGAAUAUGGCUUACUGUGGGAAAGCUGGGUUCUUGUUUAAAUGUGCUGGAUAAGCGGUGUACUCUUUACUCCCGUAUAUGUGCAGCUCGUCAGAAAGUAGCGUCCCCGCGACGCUUCUGUAAACAACAAACAUGGCAUCUGAGUAAGACUAUGGUAGUGACGGGACAUUCCAUCAUUUAAACUGGUGUGUAUAAAUGAGUAUAGUUUACUGAACAUGGGGAUAUGCUUGUUUUUCUCAACAAAAAUAUGAGAUACAAUAUAAUCAUAACUAUUAUAUGGCAAGUGUUUAUAUUCGUCCUGUACGUUAAUUCCAUCAGUCUACUUCAUUUGCAGUUUCUUUUUCUUCACUUUCCACGAGCUUAAUUGUUUUCAUUCUAUACUUUUUUGUUUUCAUGCAUUGCUUGUUUAAAUGUUUUCAACAACAAAAAACACAGGACAGAAUAUAAGCUUGUCUUGGAUGUAAUUAGAAGCUUGAUUUUUUAAAAUGGUGAUGCAAUCUUUCUGGCUAAAUAAAAAAUAUUUUACAUAUUUUUCUCAUUAAUUACCUUCAUUUAAAUAAUAGAAUAUUUGAGUAUUCGUUUUUUAUUAGCUUAAAUAUACGAAUACACAAAUUAUUGAUGAAUGCCCAACCCUACCAAAACCAUCUCCAAACAAAUAAAACAUAAUAAUUGUACAUAAGAACUAAUUACACAUGCUAACACAACAAUGACUAAAGGUUUGUACAGCAUGCAGACAUGAUUUUAGUAAUGAGAUUUCACAGAAUGAGUUUCAUUCUGUGUCAUUUGAGUCAUCAUUGAGUCUGUGUCAUGUAUUUGGCGCCAUCUCCUGGUGGUCAUAUGUAACAUUGUGCUUCAUGUGGAUUAUCUAAUGAUCUAUACAUCUGAUUAUCUUGUGUGUGGACUCGUUUGAAAGAUACUCGCCUCCUCUAAAUAAUGGUAUGUGAUAUUUUAUGUUCUGUUUAUUUUUCGUGAAGUUAUAACUGAAAACGCGGCAUAUAAGCAACAUUAACAUAAUUGUCAAAGACAUAUACUUAGCUAUUACUCGCUAUAUUUUUGUGUGUGAGUAAAACAAAUAGGCUGGUUGUAUUCUACUCUUCUAGAGCUUUCCAACAACAUAUGACACAUGACUAUUUGAUCAGUUUGAUGUUUUUACUGAUUGCAAUAAUACACACAGUGCACUUUUUUUUUUUAUAAAUUAUCAAAA